rnacentral:rRNA from 1 species
AACGAACGCUGGCGGCAGGCUUAACACAUGCAAGUCGAACGCCCCGCAAGGGGAGUGGCAGACGGGUGAGUAACGCGUGGGAAUCUACCCAUCCCUACGGAAUAACGCAUGGAAACGUGUGCUAAUACCGUAUACGCCCUACGGGGGAAAGAUUUAUCGGGGAUGGAUGAGCCCGCGUUGGAUUAGCUAGUUGGUGGGGUAAAGGCCUACCAAGGCGACGAUCCAUAGCUGGUCUGAGAGGAUGAUCAGCCACAUUGGGACUGAGACACGGCCCAAACUCCUACGGGAGGCAGCAGUGGGGAAUAUUGGACAAUGGGCGCAAGCCUGAUCCAGCCAUGCCGCGUGAGUGAUGAAGGCCGUAGGGUUGUAAAGCUCUUUCACCGGAGAAGAUAAUGACGGUAUCCGGAGAAGAAGCCCCGGCUAACUUCGUG